rnacentral:rRNA from 1 species
UACGUAGGGUGAGAGCGUUAAUCGGAAUUACUGGGCGUAAAGCGUGCGCAGGCGGUCCGCAAAGUCUGAUGUGAAAGCCCCGGGCUCAACCUGGGAACUGCAUUGGAAACUAACGGGCUCGAGUGUGGCAGAGGGGGGUGGAAUUCCACGUGUAGCAGUGAAAUGCGUAGAGAUGUGGAGGAACACCGAUGGCGAAGGCAGCCCCCUGGGCUAACACUGACGCUCAGGCACGAAAGCGUGGGGAGCAAACAGG